GAUGAACGCUGGCGGCGUGCCUAAUACAUGCAAGUCGAGCGAACGGACGAGAAGCUUGCUUUUCUGAUGUUAGCGGCGGACGGGUGAGUAACACGUGGAUAACCUACCUAUAAGACUGGGAUAACUUCGGGAAACCGGAGCUAAUACCGGAUAAUAUUUUGAACCGCAUGGUUCAAAAGUGAAAGACGGUCUUGCUGUCACUUAUAGAUGGAUCCGCGCUGCAUUAGCUAGUUGGUAAGGUAACGGCUUACCAAGGCAACGAUGCAUAGCCGACCUGAGAGGGUGAUCGGCCACACUGGAACUGAGACACGGUCCAGACUCCUACGGGAGGCAGCAGUAGGGAAUCUUCCGCAAUGGGCGAAAGCCUGACGGAGCAACGCCGCGUGGGUGAUGAAGGUCUUCGGAUCGUAAAACUCUGUUAUUAGGGAAGAACAUAUGUGUAAGUAACUGUGCACAUCUUGACGGUACCUAAUCAGAAAGCCACGGCUAACUACGU
rnacentral:rRNA from 1 species